rnacentral:rRNA from 1 species
GACAGAGGAGCCAAGCGUUGUCCGGAUUGACUGGGCGUAAAGCGCACGCAGGCGGCCGUGCACGUGGGGUGUGAAAGCUGGCGGCUUAACUGCCAGACGCCACCUCAUACGGCACGGCUCGAGCCCGUGAGAGGUCCACGGAAUUGCCGGUGUAGUGGUGAAAUGCGUAGAGGUCGGCAGGAACACCCAGGGGGAAACCAGUGGACUGGCACGGUGCUGACGCUCAGGUGCGAAAGCGUGGGGAGCGAACCGG